UUUCCGUAGGUGAACCUGCGGAACGAUCAUUAUUGUAUAACCGAGGUGCGAGGGCUGUCGCUGACCCGAAAGGUCGUGCACGCCCGACUGCCCUCACACACAUCCAUCUCACCCCUAUGUGCACCACCGCGUGGGUCCCCCUUUGGCUUGUUCGGAGGGGGGCUUACGUUUUCACACAAACUUUGUAUGCAGUGUAGAAUGUAUUUUUUGUUUUUGCUAUCACGCAAUCAAUACAACUUUCAACAACGGAUCUCUUGGCUCUC
rnacentral:misc_RNA from 1 species